rnacentral:tRNA from 1 species
GUAAAUAUAGUUUAACAAAAACACUAGAUUGUG